rnacentral:lncRNA from 1 species
UGUACGUAAAACCCAUGAAGUGCCUUUUAUUAUUAUGAAUGGCAAUAGUUACAGUAAUAAGUGAAAGCAUGGCAUAGCCAUUGGAGCCAGGAAAACAUGGGAACCGGGCUACUUCGGAUGUAUCAUCCUGUUUGAUCCUGGGGAAGUGAUUUAGUCUUUGGCAGAGAAGCUGCCAAUCCUCAGUGGUAAAAGGAGGUCCCUCCCUGGGAGUCCCGAUACCAAUUUUAUCCCUCGUCUGGUCCAAAAGCAACAUAGCCAUAACACAAACCAGGAAGGCUACGGACCGAAGGAGGCUUCUCAAAACUCAUGUAGACCAAAGGGAGGCACCUCUGCCCCACCCUCUCCAAAUCCACCCAGGGCAUGGUGCGGGAUCAGCGAGGGAAAUUCUAUCUCACUGUGGCUACAGGAAUAAAACGGCAGAAAAAGCAAGACGUUAGUGAAGCUUUCCCAGAUGCCCUCAAGGUAUAAGAACUCUACCACUGUGGCGUUCUAAAGAGUAUUUCUUCUGCUAUAGCCCUUUUGUUAGGCAAGAAAGACCCUUGAUCUGGACUUGCGGAGCGGAGGCCAGAGUCAGGGUGGUCUCUAGAAAACAGCCCUUCACUGGGGAAGUCCCCGAGGGGGGCUCCGAUCCCCCUUGGACAGCCACUGCCCUUUUAUAUCUGCCCAUCCUUUCUUGAAAAUCAAACGUUGAACCUGAAGCUUGGAUUGGGCCAAGCAAGUCCCGCUCGGCGUCUUGGCCUCCCGGAACAAAGAAAUCGAGGUCUCCAAGCAUCCUCCCUGCCCCGGGCUGGAAAGAGCAAAGGGCUGGGUUUCCUCCCACCUGACCUGGAAGUUUUCUGAGUCCUCAUCCUUUCUGGAGCAGAGAUAAUGCUUGAUUCUGCAGACUCUCCCUAGAGAAGAUGCUCUCUGUUCUAUCUACCUUGCUGAAACAGAAGUGUUGACAGCACCUUCUAAAUUCAACUCCCGAGUCCCCUCACUCUAGUUCCAGCCCUCCUGAUGCUACCCCUACCCUCAUCACUGAAAGCCAAGGACCGGAGAACCAUUACAGAAGAAAGGAUGAGUUGGUUCAAGAGACUCUUUGGAAAAAUAAAUGGCCAUGGGACACUCCAUGGAAGCGGUGAGAGACAAUGGAAUGUCCAACAUGCUUGGAGACUUAACCCAUGGACUUGCUUUAAAUUCUUGAGACUACAGAAAAGAGAGAAAGCGACGGCGGUGGUGGCGGCGGCGGCAGACUCAUUCUCUCCCCAGACUGCCCAGGAUAAAAAUCAAUAGGUGUUUAAUCUGCGAGGGAGUUGGAUUUCUCUCCAGCGCUGUCCCCCAUCCCCGAGAUUGGAGGGUGGGGGUGGAGGUGGGAGAUGAAUAGAAAUCGGGCCUUCUAAAGCGAGAGGCUCUUGUAGUCAGACUCCAUUCUUCAGAUGAGGCUAAUUGAGGGCCUUGGAGGUUAAACUGAUUGCCUAAGGUCACACAGCUAGGAAAUGGAAGGGCCAGGAUUAUCCCCCACCGCCACCCCCAAACCAGACUGCCUUUUCUCCCAAUAACCUGGAAAGGCGCAAAUCCGGAAUUUGGGUGAUUUUGACACGCCUGCCUGGGUAACCCAGUUCAGUGACUUUUCCCUGCUCCUGGAGGAAACUGGGCAGAAACUUUCUUGAAUUUGGCAGGGAAAGCCUGCUCACGGAAGGAGUCCCGAGCCCGCAGCCGGCAGCCCUCUCUAACCUUGGAGGGGGGGAGGGGGGGGUAAACCUUCUGGAGAUCUGGGGCCGCCGAUUCCGCAGACGUUUCAAAGGGUUUAAAGACCGUCUUAAUUAACAUGACAAAGGCCCCGGGGUGGCCGUGAAGUGUCUGAUUUCAGGAUUUGUCUGAGCUGUAAGCACUUCCCUUCCAAAAUGACCCAAAGCGAAGCUUUAUUCUGAGCCAUCCCCUUUCUUUCCAAAAGGGAACUAAAAAGACAGCAGCAUCUUGCCUUCCCCCCAGAGGCGGGUUUUCUGGACCCCCAAUUAAUUCAUUUGUGAGCAAAUGCAAAAUCCGUUUGCCAAAUCGCAGCUUCCUCUGGCUUAUCCCUCUCCUAGGAGUCCCGAGUACUCGGAAAGGUCCCUCUCUCUCUCUCUGGGCCCCAAAUAUCGCGAGGGCCUGCUUGCAGGUCCUCCUCUACAUUUAUUGAUCCCCUAUUGUGUUCCAUGGAAUUUUACAGAACCGCGGAGGUAAGAAUUAAGUGGUCCCGUCUUCUCAUUUUACAGUGGAGGAAACGGAAUCCCACGAGAGUAAUCAACUCAUUCAAGCUCAUAAUCAAGGGGUCUGACUCCAAAUGUUUACCAGCCUCGCUUUUCUAGUCCGAUUUCCCUCAUUUUUACGGAUGAGGAAACUGAGGCUCAAAGACGCCAAAUUACCGAGAACGGUUUUAGCCUACUGAGAAUGAUGUGCAGCAUCACAAAGGAAAGUCACUGCCUUUGGGGAAUUCUCAAUCCUGUUGGGGAUUCAAGGCACACACAACAAAAAGAUAACCAAUCACAGGAGGUUGCUUAUACUGAAUAGUAAAUGAAGGGCACAGAUAAUAAAUGCUCCAGGAGUUUAGAGGAGGCA